rnacentral:lncRNA from 1 species
GCAAUUACCAUAUCUGAGGCUAAAUUUUAGCCUGGGCCAAAAAUCCUGCACUUUCAAUUCUUAUAUAAAAACCACCAAGCAACUAUCUCAUGAGCUUUAUUGAACUACAUAUUAUAGAUUGUGAAUGAAAAUAUUGAUGAUGACUGUUGUUGUGUUUUUCUCAUGUUCUUCAGGUCGGGAGACAACAAUUAAGUUUGUUUCAUGAACCCUUAGUGCCACCAUAUGUACUAUGGUGAUCUUCUAAAAACAAAGAUACUUUCAGAAAGGGGAAUAUUCUUAGA